rnacentral:rRNA from 1 species
ACGGAAGGCAGCAGUGGGGAAUAUUGGACAAUGGAGGCAACUCUGAUCCAGCGACGCCGCGUGAGUGAAGAAGUAUUUCGGUAUGUAAAGCUCUAUCAGCAGGGAAGAUAAUGACGGUACCUGACUAAGAAGCCCCGGCUAACUACGUGCCAGCAGCCGCGGUAAUACGUAGGGGGCAAGCGUUAUCCGGAUUUACUGGGUGUAAAGGGAGCGUAGGCGGCCAGACAAGUCAGAUGUGAAAGCCCGGGGCUCAACUCCGGUACUGCAUUUGAAACUGCCAGGCUUGAGUGCAGGAGAGGCAAGCGGAAUUCCUAGUGUAGCGGUGAAAUGCGUAGAUAUUAGGAAGAACACCAGUGGCGAAGGCGGCUUACUGGACUGAGACUGACGCUGAGGCUCGAAAGCGUGGGGAGCAAACAGGAUUAGAUACCCUGGUA